rnacentral:rRNA from 1 species
UGCGUAGGCGGAUUAAUAAGUCAGUGGUGAAAUCUCUCGGCUCAACCGGGAAACUGCCAUUGAUACUGUUAAUCUUGAGUUCGGUUGAGGUAGGCGGAAUGUGUAAUGUAGCGGUGAAAUGCUUAGAUAUUACACAGAACACCAAUUGCGUAGGCAGCUUACUAGACCGACACUGACGCUGAGGCACGAAAGCGUGGGUAGCGAACAGGAUUAGCUACCCUGGUAGUCC